CGGACGGGUGAGUAACGCGUGAGAAUCUACCUUUAGGAGGGGGAAAACAACUGGAAACGGUUGCUAACACCCCAUAUGCUGAGGAGUAAGAUACAUUGUGCCUAGAGAUGAGCUUGCGUCUGAUUAGUUAGUUGGUAAGGUAAUUGCUUCCCAAGACUAUGAUCAGUAGCUGGUCUGAGAGGAUGAUCAGCCACACUGGGACUGAGACACGGCCCAGACUCCUACGGGAGGCAGCAGUGAGGAAUUUUCCGCAAUGGGCGAAAGCCUGACGGAGCAAUGCCGCGUGGAGGAUGAAAGCCUAUGGGUUGUAAACUCCUUUUCUCAGAGAAGAAAUUUUGACGGUAUCUGAGGAAUAAGCAUCGGCUAACUCCGUGCCAGCAGCCGCGGUAAUACGGGGGAUGCAAGUGUUAUCCGGAAUAAUUGGGCGUAAAGCGUCUGUAGGUGGUUUACCAAGUCUGUUGUUAAAAAUCAGGGCUCAACCCUGAUCCGGCAACAGAAACUAGUAGACUUGAGUACGGUAGGGGCAGAGGGAAUUCUCGGUGUAGUGGUGAAAUACGUAGAUAUCGAGAAGAACACCAAUAGCGAAAGCACUCUGCUGGGCCGAAACUGACAUUGAGAGACGAAAGCUAGGGGAGCAAAAGGGAUUAGAUACCCCUGUAGUC
rnacentral:rRNA from 1 species